rnacentral:rRNA from 1 species
GACGAACGCUGGCGGCGUGCUUAACACAUGCAAGUCGAACGGAAAGGCCCUGCUUUUGUGGGGUUCUCGUUUGGCGAACGGGUGUGUAACACGUGAGUAACCUGCCCUUGACUUUGGGAUAACUUCUGGAAACUGGGGCUAAUACCGGAUAGGAUCUCCUGCUGCAUGGUGUUGGUUGGAAAAUUUCGGCGGUGGGGGAUGGACUCGCGGCUUAUCAGCUUGUUGGUGGGGUAGUGGCUUACCAAGGCUUUGACGGGUAGCCGGCCUGAGAGGGUGACCGGCGACAUGGGGACUGAGAGACGGACCAGAAGCCUACGGGAGGCAGCAGUGGAGAGUAUUGCGCAAUGGGGGGAAGCCUGAUGCAGAAGCGCCGCGUGCGGGAUGACGGCCUUCGGGUUGUAAACCGCUUUCGCCUGUGACGAAGAGUGAGUGACGGUAAUGGGUAAAGAAGCACCGGCUAACUACGUG